rnacentral:rRNA from 2 species
UACGGGAGGCAGCAGGGGGGAAUCUUGCGCAAUGGGAGCAAUCCUGANGCAGCGACACCGCGUGCGGGAGGACGCCCUUCGGGGUGUAAACCGCUGUCACCAGGGAAGAACCGGACAAGGAGGCAAUGCCUUGUUCCUGACGGUACCUGGAGAGGAAGCACCGGCUAACUCCGUGCCAGCAGCCGCGGUAAUACGGAGGGUGCGAGCGUUGUUUGGAAUCAUUGGGCGUAAAGGGCGCGUAGGCGGCCCUGUCAGUCCGACUGUGAAAGGCCGGGGCUCAACCCCGUGCAGGUCAGCGGAGACGGCAGGGCUGGAGACACGUAGAGGCGGGUGGAAUUGGGGGUGUAGCGGUGGAAUGCGUAGAGAUCCCCAAGAACACCGGAGGCGAAGGCGGCCCGCUGGGCGUGAUCUGACGCUGAGGCGCGAAAGCGUGGGGAGCGAACAGGAUUAGAUACCCUGGUAGUCCACGCCGUAAACGAUGGGCACUCGGUGCCGGAGGGAUCGACCCCUUCGGUGCCCAAGCUAACGCAGGAA